UUAAUUAUUUGAUCAAAUUUAAAUGGGAGUCUCGAACACAUGCAUAAUUAUAAUCAUUGUCUACAAUUCAAGAUUCAUAAUUUAUAACAUAAAAUAACAUAACAUAAUAAGAAUAUAUUGUUAUAUUAUAAAACAUCAUUCUCAAUAGAUAAAUAAUAAUUUAUAUUUAUCAAAAUAUGUUAUUGCGAUUUUUUUUAAAUUAUGUUUUAGAACAUAUAACAUUUUUUAAUUAAUUUUGAGAAUAUUUAUUGAAUCUUGCGAUUCAAUUCUCGAUUCACAAAGUGAAAAGUGAAGAUUUUGAUUUUCGAUUUGACAACUAUGCUUCAAAGCAAAAUUCCAUAAUAAGAAUACCAAUUUCUCAAUAAGAACAUCAUAGCAUCAAAUAUGAAUUAAAACUAAGGAGAAUAUAUCCUAUGACUGCGUAUGAAAUAUCCUAUUUAACUACUGUCACCAACAACUGACACUUAACUCAACUCAACUCAAUUAAACUUUUAUCUCAAAAAUUUGAGAUCGACAUCGGUAACAAGAU
rnacentral:misc_RNA from 1 species